rnacentral:misc_RNA from 1 species
UACAGAGGGUGCAAGCGUUAAUCGGAAUUACUGGGCGUAAAGCGUGCGUAGGCGGAUGCUUAAGUCAGAUGUGAAAGCCCUGGGCUUAACCUAGGAAUUGCAUCUGAUACUGGGUAUCUAGAGUAUGGUAGAGGAUAGUGGAAUUUCAGGUGUAGCGGUGAAAUGCGUAGAGAUCUGAAGGAACACCAGUGGCGAAGGCGACUGUCUGGGCCAAUACUGACGCUGAGGUACGAAAGCAUGGGUAGCGAACAGG